UACGGAGGGGGCUAGCGUUGUUCGGAUUGACUGGGCGUAAAGCGCGCGUAGGCGGAUCAUGCAAGUCAGGGGUGAAAGCCCGGGGCUCAACCCCGGAAUGGCCUUUGGGACUGCUGGUCUUGAGUUCGAGAUAGGUGGGUGGAAUUCCGAGUGUAGAGGUGAAAUUCGUAGAUAUUCGGAGGAACACCAGUGGCGAAGGCGGCCCACUGGCUCGACACUGACGCUGAGGCGCGAAAGCGUGGGGAGCAAACAGG
rnacentral:rRNA from 1 species